UGCCAGUUCUCUGGAGUCUUCCAAACAAACCAAGUUUCAAUGUUUCCAACAAAUGAAUCUUUUCUAACCACACUGUACAACAAUGAUGUUCAAUAAUGUGGUGUUUGUUUGCCAUUGGGAGAAAAGGUGGCACAUGAUUCUUGACUGUCUAAGCGAUGGGGAUAUUGCCUUCAUGAACAGGAGGAGAAAGAGAAUAAUUCAAAUUUUGCUGCUUUAAAUGAAUUAAAACUGACAUAAAAGCAAGAAAACAUGACACCAAACAAGAUAAACAGGAACCAUAGCCCUUGGACUCAAAAGACCUUACCUGUGGUUCAUAAGGUCUUCAGACUUCAAGAACAAAGAAAUAAAAUCAGUGAUAAGAUCAACACCAUCCAGGGACUGAGAAUUCAACACCCACAACAGCGACAGACAGGUUCAUGUGACAAAUACAUUUUAUAAAUUCAUUACUUCUGUAAUCAUAUAUAGCACAAUGUUUGCAUAUAAAGAUAGUUAUCAUGUCAUUUUGUAUGUAUAAAGUACAAAGGUACAGGCGCACAAAUGCUUAAUACCGG
rnacentral:lncRNA from 1 species